UUUUUACAAACCAAGAUACCAAAAGAAAAAUUGGGAACCCCCUAAAAACCAACAAACGAUUUCAAGCAUCCAUUCAGAAACGAUACAACCAUCCGGCGAUCCAAUUGUUCAGACUUUAGCUGGCGUCCGUGGUGAGAGAGCUUUAGUCGCCGGCGGCGGCAGCAAGAGAGCUUCGGUCGGUUCAAUUCUUGUUUACAAAGUUUCCAUUCUUGUUUAUUCAGAAACGAUAUCGCUUUCUCGAUUAUUCGAUACAAAGGUUCGAUUCGAUACACAUGAUUCCCAGUUCUAUUGAAACCUGUAAGAUUUUGCACUUAAACUCUAUUCCCGGUGCGUCCUGUUCGACAGGUUUCUUCAAGAAGAUUAGGUUGAAGAUUGAAUAUGGGUGAGCAGUUGAAACUGUUAGAAUCGUCUGAAACUGUUGAACCUAUAAAAGAAUAGAUGAUAUCCAAAAGCCAAAGCAUGAUCUACUAAUCAAGAAAUAUGCAAAAGAUUGAAUUAGUCUUUCCCCAAAGAUAGUAAAUCAUAAACACCUAUUCUGAACAUCUGUUCAAGAGCAUGGCUAACAUAUGAUGAAGACUUGGAACCGCUAUUCAAGAGUACCAACAUCUGAUGAAGGCUAGCAUCUGUUAAAGACCAAAGCCCUGAUCAAGCCAAUGGUCUGAUGAAGAAGACCAAAUAUGUGUUAUGCCAAACAGAUGUUUGGAAAACUGCAACAGAGGAUAACUUAGACAGUGGUUUCAAAUUGUAACAAUAUUUAUCUUAUCAGCGUUUAGUAUAGCCUAGAUCAGAUGAUAGGAUUUGCUCAGAUGUUUGCAAAGAUCUAAGAAUCUUUUCUGUUAGGAAGGUUAGAUGUCACUAUUAGGGUGAUGUCAGCUAAUCACCGAACAGAACUUUCGUACUUAGUAUAAAUAGAUCACACCUAUUAGUGAUCUAUUCAUCACAUACAUCACAUUUUCUCUUGUACAAACUGAUUUGUUCACGUGAUCAGCUGAGGGGGAGUCUGUAGAGUCAAUCGAAUUGUAAAACAUUUUAAUCCUUGUUGAUUAAUGAAAAACAAUCGUUGAU
rnacentral:lncRNA from 1 species